rnacentral:rRNA from 1 species
UACGUAGGGGGCAAGCGUUGUCCGGAUUUAUUGGGCGUAAAGAGCGUGUAGGCGGUUUGGUAGGUCCGCUGUGAAAACUCGAGGCUCAACCUCGAGACGCCGGUGGAAACCAUCAGACUAGAGUCCGGAAGAGGAGAGUGGAAUUCCUGGUGUAGCGGUGAAAUGCGCAGAUAUCAGGAGGAACACCGAUGGCGAAGGCAGGUCUCUGGGCCAUUACUGACACUGAGAAGCGAAAGCAUGGGGAGCGAACAGG